rnacentral:rRNA from 1 species
GUGGGGAAUAUUGGACAAUGGGGGGAACCCUGAUCCAGCCAUGCCGCGUGUGUGAAGAAGGCCUUUUGGUUGUAAAGCACUUUAAGCGAGGAGGAGGCUACCGAGAUUAAUACUCUUGGAUAGUGGACGUUACUCGCAGAAUAAGCACCGGCUAACUCUGUGCCAGCAGCCGCGGUAAUACAGAGGGUGCAAGCGUUAAUCGGAUUUACUGGGCGUAAAGCGCGCGUAGGUGGCCAAUUAAGUCAAAUGUGAAAUCCCCGAGCUUAACUUGGGAAUUGCAUUCGAUACUGGUUGGCUAGAGUAUGGGAGAGGAUGGUAGAAUUCCAGGUGUAGCGGUGAAAUGCGUAGAGAUCUGGAGGAAUACCGAUGGCGAAGGCAGCCAUCUGGCCUAAUACUGACACUGAGGUGUGAAAGCAUGGGGAGCAAACAGGAUUAGAAACCCGUGUAGUCC